AGAGUUUGAUCCUGGCUCAGGACGAACGCUGGCGGCGCGCCUAACACAUGCAAGUCGAACGAGAGAGAGGGAGCUUGCUUCCUUGAUCGAGUGGCGAACGGGUGAGUAACGCGUGAGGAACCUGCCUCAAAGAGGGGGACAACAGUUGGAAACGACUGCUAAUACCGCAUAAGCCCACGGCUCGGCAUCGAGCAGAGGGAAAAGGAGCAAUCCGCUUUGAGAUGGCCUCGCGUCCGAUUAGCUAGUUGGUGAGGUAACGGCCCACCAAGGCGACGAUCGGUAGCCGGACUGAGAGGUUGAACGGCCACAUUGGGACUGAGACACGGCCCAGACUCCUACGGGAGGCAGCAGUGGGGAAUAUUGCACAAUGGGGGAAACCCUGAUGCAGCGACGCCGCGUGGAGGAAGAAGGUCUUCGGAUUGUAAACUCCUGUUGUUGAGGAAGAUAAUGACGGUACUCAACAAGGAAGUGACGGCUAACUACGUGCCAGCAGCCGCGGUAAAACGUAGGUCACAAGCGUUGUCCGGAAUUACUGGGUGUAAAGGGAGCGCAGGCGGGAAGACAAGUUGGAAGUGAAAUCUAUGGGCUCAACCCAUAAACUGCUUUCAAAACUGUUUUUCUUGAGUAGUGCAGAGGUAGGCGGAAUUCCCGGUGUAGCGGUGGAAUGCGUAGAUAUCGGGAGGAACACCAGUGGCGAAGGCGGCCUACUGGGCACCAACUGACGCUGAGGCUCGAAAGUGUGGGUAGCAAACAGGAUUAGAUACCCUGGUAGUCCACACCGUAAACGAUGAUUACUAGGUGUUGGAGGAUUGACCCCUUCAGUGCCGCAGUUAACACAAUAAGUAAUCCACCUGGGGAGUACGACCGCAAGGUUGAAACUCAAAGGAAUUGACGGGGGCCCGCAC
rnacentral:rRNA from 1 species